GCUCAGUAACACGUGGAGAACGUGCCCUUAAGUGGGGGAUAAUCUCGGGAAAUUGAGGAUAAUACCCCAUAGGUCAUGGGAUCUGGAAUGACCCAUGGCUGAAAGUUCCGGCGCUUAAGGAUCGCUCUGCGGCCUAUCAGGUAGUAGUGGGUGUAACGUACCCCCUAGCCUACGACGGGUAUGGGCCUUGAGAGAGGGAGCCCAGAGUUGGAUUCUGAGACACGAAUCCAGGCCCUACGGGGCGCAGCAGUCGCGAAAACUUCACACUGGGGGGAACCCCGAUGAGGGAAUUCCUAGUGCUUGGGCAUUUGUCCAAGCUUUUCCCGAGCGUAGAUAACUCGGGGAAUAAGGGCUGGGUAAGACGGGUGCCAGCCGCCGCGGUAAUACCUGCAGCCCGAGUGGUGGUCGAUUUUAUUGAGUCUAAAGCGUUCGUAGCCGGUCCGUUAAAUCCUUGGGUAAAUCGGGAAGCUCAACUUUCCGACUUCCGAGGAGACUGGCGGACUUGGGACCGGGAGAGGCCAGAGGUACUUCUGGGGUAGGGGUAAAAUCCUGUAAUCCUAGAAGGACCACCGGUGGCGAAGGCGUCUGGCUAGAACGGAUCCGACGGUGAGGGACGAAGCCCUGGGUCGCAAACGGGAUUAGAUACCCCGGUAGUCCAGGGUGUAAACGCUGCCGACUUGGUGUUGGGGGCCCUUCGGGGGAACUCAGUGCCGGAGAGAAGUUGUUAAGUCGGCCACUUGGGGAGUACGUCCGCAAGGAUGAAACUUAAAGGAAUUGGCGGGGGAGCACCGCAACGGGAGGAGCGUGCGGUUUAAUUGGAUUCAACACCGGAAAACUCACCAAGGGCGACUGUUACAUGAAAGCCAGGCUAAUGACCUUGCUUGAUUUUCAGAGAGGUGGUGCAUGGCCGUCGUCAGUUCGUACCGUAAGGCGUUCUCUUAAGUGAGAUAACGAACGAGACCCUCACCGAUAAUUGCCAGUCCGAUCCCCGGAUCGGGCGCACAUUAUAGGGACCGCUGGCGCUAAGUCAGAGGAAGGAGUGGACGACGGUA
rnacentral:rRNA from 1 species